rnacentral:lncRNA from 1 species
AUUAAAGUCGACAUUUUGAAACCUAUGACGUCACAGCCGGACAAACACAAGUCCUUCCAAGCGUCUUCUUCGCAAGUUGAUACUGCGACAAGAUGCGUGCUAAGUGGAGGAAGAAGCGUAUGCGCAGGCUUAAGCGUAAGCGCAGGAAGAUGCGUGCGAGGUCCAAGUAGACUGCUUUCCACUACCUUGUCCCCUUUUACUUAACAAAUUGACAGAACCAUGAGACCAUCAUAAACUGCCACUUUUUUUUUUCUAUCAAUAAAAUGUGAAAGGGGAAAA